CGCCCCCCCCCCCAUCAUCAUUCCUCCUCUCCGGUCGUGCGUGUGUGCGUGUGUGUGUGUGUGUCUUGCGUAAGUAACUGGUUUGGGAGGGGCCUCCGCUGCACACGAGCACGUGCGUACACGCACGCGCACCAGCAUCUUCGCUUUUCGUUUGCGCAUACAUCUUGGCGAUCUCUGCUCACAUCUUGACCUCCCUCCCUCUUGUAGCUGUCUCGCAUCGACGCAAUGGUGAAGGAAACGGACCUCUACGACGAGCUCGGCAUCUCGCCGGAUGCCACAGAGCCGCAGAUCCGCUCCGCCUACCGCAGAAAGGCGCUCCAGUAUCACCCCGACAAGAACAGCGGCGACCCGGCGGCGGCCGAGAAGUUUAAGAAGGUGGCUGAGGCCUACGAGAUCCUCAGCGAUGCGGAGCGGCGUAAGCAGUAUGAUACGUUCGGCCGCAACGGACUCGGCAGCGCGGCAGGCGGCAGCGGUGGCGUUCCGGGUGGCGGCUUUGGGUCCAGCUUUGGUGCGGGUAUAGACCCGAUGGACAUCUUCUCUUCCUUCUUUGGAUUUGCUUCCGGUGGCGGCCCUGGCGCGUCGCGUCAGCAGCGUCCAGCGAAGCCGUCUUUCAUCUUGGUGGAGCUGCAGUGCUCCCUCGAGGAGCUUUACUGCGGCACGGUGAAAGUGUUGCAGGUGCGUCGGCGGCGUCUCUGUCCCUCCUGCCACGGCCACGGCACGUCGAGCGGCAGGCCAAGCCCAGUGUGUCCGCAGUGCAAGGGAAACAAGACGGUCACGAAGGCGCUCAACUUCGGCGGCCUCACGGCAUACCAGCAGUGCCGCUGCGACCGCUGCGAAGGCCUCGGCAAGCUCCCCAUCCAGUCGCCAUGUGCGCGGUGCGGGCCGGUCUACGACGCGCACCAGCGCUCGCCGCUGUCCGGUACCCACAAGCCUGACCCCCUCCCUCGCGGCGUUGUUGUGGAAGAGAAGAUGAUCAAGGUCUCGAUCGAGCCAGGCACGGAGGACAGCGAUGCGUUGCACUACGUCGGCCAAGGUGACGAGCUGCCUGGCUUCGACGCCGUCGGCGACGUCCUCGUCGUCAUUGAGCAGCUGCCUCAUCCCUACUACCGCCGAGUGAACAGCACGGAUCUACUUCUUUCGAAUUGUCGCGUGCCGCUUGGGUGCCUCUUCCGCGACGCCUUCUCGAUCCCUAUCGAGCUGCUCGACGGCCGUGUCGUGCGUCUGGCGACGCCGCUGCGGGAUGGUAACGUGCCGCACUUCCUCUUCGACUCACAACAUGUCUUUGUUGUGGACAACGAGGGCAUGCCGCUGAAGGAGCGCAAGAGGGGCGGCGCGGCGGCCGAUGCAAACCAUAACGGCAGCGAGGCCGCUGAAGGUGUGGCGCAUCGAAAGAAAGGCAAGCUGUACCUCUGUAUCGAUGUCGUGUUUCCAAGCUCGCUGACGCCAGCGCAAGUGGACAUCAUCACGAAAGCCCUUGGCAGCAGCCACGAGCGCGACCCUGCCGCCACUGGCGGAGAUGCAGGUCGCGUGGUAACGCUGCAGUCGCACCGCGGCCCGGCGCCAAGCUGGUACACGGUCGAUGCGGAGGGCAACGCAUGGUACCAGCCGAACGCGCUGCCCACCGCCAAGAAGAAACGGAAGGCGACCUCGACGGCAGAGUGAUGCAAAGCAGUCGACCUGCGUGCAACCACGCGUGUCGGGGGAGGGGUGUUCGCAUGUGCCCUCCUCCGCUUGUGCGUAUCUGCACGCACACUGCAACCGACAAGUGUGCCAGGAUGGGCCCUACCACCUCCUCGCCGUGUUCUUUGCCUGCUAUUAUCUCUCUCUCUGUGCGUGUAGCGCUGUUGCCGCCGCCCCGUCACCGCUUCCACGUCCUCGCUGCCGUUGCGUCUGCGAGAGAGGCUGUAAACACGGAGGACAGAGGGUAGACAGGAGGGGGGGGGGAGUAUAGAGUCGACUCAUCGCUUGGUGGUGGCGGCUCUCGUGGUAACGGUUUCCACGCCACGAGUCUGUGGCGCGUCGGUGCAGUCGAAGUGAGUGGAGAGGGGGGAGGUCGCCCGCGUCUCGGCCCCCUUCCUCUCCCACCAACAUGUCUCUGUGGCCCUGUGCGCGUUGGCUUCGUUCGUUUGCGCUACUUUUGCUCAUCCCGUUUGCAUUCUCUCCGUCUCCCAUGACGUGCUCAGUCGCACGCCUCUGCUGCGGUGGUGCGGCACCGCCAUCGCAACUCAAGCUCAACGACCGUUGGACCACUUCGCACACCGUCCACCCCUCGACUUGUGCGGGUGCGCCCGUCAUACAUCCCUCAUUCCUGUCUUGUGCGCCGGCAACGAGCAAGCGCAGCCCGCACGCAACUGCAUUGGGAGCUGUUCGUAUUCGCGUGGAGAUGUCUCUACCGCCCUCGAGGGCAGCGCAGGUGCAGCAGCGGGAGUGAGCAGGGAGGGGGAGGGCAUCAAGAAAAAGAAACGGGUGCACAGCGACAGCAGCUCAACUGGGAUGGUGCGUCUCCUCCCCUCCCUCUGCCACUCCCCGGCCAUGGUGGGCCGUCACGCAUCACACUCAUCGCCGCGUUCUCUACCCCAUCCCUUUCCUCUUCUUCUCUCCUUCUGCCCUCUCUCUGUCUGUCCGUGUGCGCUCGGCCUUACGUCUGCUGAUGCGUCGCUGCACACUCGUGCAACGUAG
rnacentral:misc_RNA from 1 species